rnacentral:tmRNA from 1 species
GGGGAUGUAAGUUUCGACAGGGUUCGUUUCAAAUUACAUGCAAGUAGCGGAUGGGUAUCACCGCUUUAAUCACUGCCUAAAUUUAUAAUUGCCAAAAACAAUUAUUCAGGCGCCUUAGCUUUCGCUUGAGCGCCCGGCCAGCUUAGCUGGCCACGUUCUCUUAAGGAUUCUCGCUACUUAAGAAGAACGACAUUAGCGGGAUACCGUUUAUGGGGUCUUGGUGUGUUCUAAGCCAUGAGCGGGAAUUUAGCUAGAAUGCUGGUCCGAUGUUUUUGCUAGCUUUAAAGUCGGACAAUAAUAAACUAGCUAAACUUGUAGAGUAUAGUUUGAUAUAACUUUGGACGAGGGUUCAAUCCCUCCAUCUCCACAC